UCUCUCCCUUUCGCUUUGCCAAUUGGACUUCUGUCUUUAUUGGUCAUUCAAGUGGGACUAAGGAAAUACCCUUUUAAAAUUCAGGCAAACUGGGUGUUAGUUUUGUAUCUAGUCAGAGGAAACAAAA
rnacentral:snoRNA from 1 species